CAACAACACCACCAACCACAACAGCACCACCAACAACUACAACAGCCCAUCCAACCACAACAACGACAACACCAUCCACUACAACAACACCUCCAUCUACCUCAACGACACUACGAACUACCACAACAACAACACCAACGACUACAACAGCACCUCCAACUACACUACUAACCACCACAACAGCACCUCUGACCACCACAACGACACCACCAACCACUACAACAGCAACAUCAACCCUUACAGCAGCGAAAGCCCUGCAAGCACUGGCACAUAUAAAGAUGAGGAUAACUACCUAUGGAGAGGUCAGCAAUACAACCAUCAUCAAACUUAUUGAAGAGUUUUUUAGCAACCAGAUCCUGAAUGGAACAGCCCACAGUCUCUCUGUGACAAACAUUCAACAAGUGAGAGUUGGCCCAUAAAAGCUCCGUAUGGACAGAAGUCAAAAGUGACUGAAUGAAGACAACAAUUCAAGGAUGUCUUUGGUUUAACAUAAUGUGAAGAGGCGGUAUGACUGAGCUGUUUGAGCAUAUCUUCAAAUAAAGCAAGCCAAGUUACAAGUCAAGACAAGAAUUUCUGAGCAAAAAAUGAAAUGAAAUUACAUACAGCUUUGUAAUUCCACACUUUUGCUUGUAUUUUACAUAAAUGUGAUAAUUGGAACUGUGCUCCUGGUGUGAGUGUCAGCUUGCAAAGUAUAAUAGAAAUCUCAAACCAGGAAAUUUGAUCUGUCACAGAUUUGUAAGAGGCGUUAUCAGUUCUUCAGCUUGAGAAGCAGAGGUCACUCUGACACGCCUGGUAACCAGAAAACUGUAAAGAGUGCUUCUUGCUUAUAUAAACAAAGAAAAGUGAGCGAAGCAUACCAAGUACAUGAAUAUUGUCCCUCAAAUCGGGAAAAUCAAUUGUCUGUCAGGUAUUACUGACAGAACUUGUUAUUAUGAGUGAUUCUGUUGUACUCAAGGUCACCUUUCCAGUUCAUUGGCAAGACAGAAUUUGAAAGCACUCCUUUGUAUUUUACUUUAAAGAAUAACUAAAAUUUGGAUGUCCAACACACUGUGUGUGCAGAGGAACUCUGAGAAAGUUUCUGUCAUGCAAGCCCACAUUGAUGAGUGAUUGUUUAAAUGUGUUAUUUGGCAAACUUGCCUCUCUUGCUAUUCAAAUGUCAGGUACAUUUUAAUGUUGGGAGAAAAUGUAUUUUUUUAAGCAAUAAGCCCAUGCAACAUAUGGAUUUUCUAUUAUACUAUUAUUUUUGCACUAAAAUUCUGUAGUGUAACGUAAACUUGUCUUUAUAAGUAACCUAAAAUUAACUGUAAUGCAUUCCUGAGUAAUGUGUUACUCUAAUCAUAUUGCAAUUUUUAGUCACAUGGCAAUACAAUGUGUUACUGUGCUAAAUGAAAUAAUCACAUUACAGUUACAAUUGUGCCAUUACUUACUUUGCAAAGGUUUUUCGGUUGUCUGCAGGGACAGACAGACAGAAAGCAUCAAAUAUGUCUUUUUCUUCCUGUGCACUGGCACUACCAUCAGCUGAUGUCAGUUAAUGUGUGGCGUUAAAUGCUCCAGCUGAGAAGUAUAAUGUGCAAUAACAAAUUUAUUGACCAUGAUAAUCGAUAGAGCAUGCACAACAAAAGUGGCUAUUUUUGAACAAUUUUAUGUUGCAUUUCAAAUACUAAGACUAAAUACUGACCUAGGCCAAAUCAGGCUUGAUUUUAAAACUUCUACUGUAUAUCCUGAGUAAAUGAUAUGUGUUAAUCUCAUAAAAGUUAGAAUAUUGUGAAAAGUUCGGUAUCUACAACCACAACCAUGAUGAAAACUGCUGACUUGAUAGUUAUUGAGAUGACAACCACUGACAAUCCUUUUUUAUGAGGUCAUUAAAAUGAAUACUACUACUUAUUAUAAUAACAAUAAUAAUUAUGUUUAUUAUUGUCUUUAUUUACAAACUUCCCCCCAAAAAAUCAUAACGCCACAAAAUGCUCAGAGUUACAAGAAAAUAACACAAAACACUAAAUGGAAAGGUCUAGGCUUUUUUCUUAUAGCAUCGUUUCUGCUUUCUCUGCAUCACCUGGAAAUAAAUAUGUUUUCCUUAUACAGCAAAAUGGCAGCAUGCAGAGCGUAUGCAGAAUUCUUGCAGGAAAAUUAAAAGAUGGCUGUGAGCAUUCACGAUUGUUUUUGACUGUAUAAUCCACCUGUUUGUCCAUCAAACCUCCAACACAUAAACAUAUUUGAAGUUUAAAACUGGAGGCUGAAUGCAAUGUUCAUUCUAAACGCCACUUCAGUGAUUUAUGUGAAUGUCCAAGGAGUCAUUCUGGAUUGUAAACCGUCAACUGCAUAUCUCCUGUUUUCAUCAUUAAAUCUCUAGUCAAUUACA